rnacentral:rRNA from 1 species
GAUCAUGGCUCAGGAUGAACGCUAGCGGCAGGCUUAACACAUGCAAGUCGAGGGGCAGCGGGAAGUCAGCUUGCUGACUUUGCCGGCGACCGGCGCACGGGUGAGUAACACGUAUCCAACCUCCCGCAUACUCGGGAAUAGCCUUUCGAAAGAAAGAUUAAUGCCCGAUGGUUUCAAGGGAUUGCAUGGUAUCUUGAAUAAAGAUUCAUCGGUAUGCGAUGGGGAUGCGUUCCA